GAGAUAAGCUGGUGUUUCAGUUACACAAAUGAAUCCCAGAGGCAGCCAGAAGACUCCCACUGAUCACAUUAGCCUCACUGACCAUAACUUGGACACAUCCAUCCAACCAUUUCUCAUCUCCUGCUUUAUCCUCCACUUGAAUAGCCUGGGUGAACCCCGCCGAGUCUGUCAGUGAUUUGGGUUCCCUCUGCAGACACGCCAACUACAGAAUCUCCGAAAACAAGGGAACCAAUCACAAAAAGGAACUCCCUGGAAGAAGAGAUAUUGGAUCUCAAUGGGAUACAAGAUCUUCCUGGAUAAAUAAAGGAUGAAUGAAAA